GUGGGUAGUUUGACUGGGGCGGUCUCCUCCCAAAGAGUAACGGAGGAGCACGAAGGUUAGCUAAUCCUGGUCGGACAUCAGGAGGUUAGUGCAAUGGCAUAAGCUAGCUUGACUGCGAGAGUGACGGCUCGAGCAGGUGCGAAAGCAGGUCAUAGUGAUCCGGUGGUUCUGAAUGGAAGGGCCAUCGCUCAACGGAUAAAAGGUACUCCGGGGAUAACAGGCUGAUACCGCCCAAGAGUUCAUAUCGACGGCGGUGUUUGGCACCUCGAUGUCGGCUCAUCACAUCCUGGGGCUGAAGUAGGUCCCAAGGGUAUGGCUGUUCGCCAUUUAAAGUGGUACGCGAGCUGGGUUUAGAACGUCGUGAGACAGUUCGGUCCCUAUCUGCCGUGGGCGCUGGAGAAUUGAGGGGGGCUGCUCCUAGUACGAGAGGACCGGAGUGGACGCAUCACUGGUGUUCGGGUUGUCAUGCCAAUGGCACUGCCCGGUAGCUAAAUGCGGAAGAGAUAAGUGCUGAAAGCAUCUAAGCACGAAACUUGC
rnacentral:rRNA from 2 species